GACAGAGGGGGCAAGCGCUGCUCGGAAUCACUGGGCGUAAAGGGCGCGUAGGCGGGAUGGCAAGUCGGUCGUGAAAUCCUUCGGCUCAACCGAAGAACGUCGGCCGAUACUGCCGUUCUUGAGGGAUGCAGAGGAGAUUGGAAUUCCCGGUGUAGCGGUGAAAUGUGUAGAUAUCGGGAGGAAUACCAGUGGCGAAGGCGGCCUUCUGGACGGAUACUGACGCUGAGGCGCGAAAGCCAGGGGAGCAAACGGG
rnacentral:rRNA from 1 species